rnacentral:lncRNA from 1 species
AUCCUAAGCAUUAUUAUUAUACAUAAUAAUGUUAUCCUCAUUAUUAUUAUUAUUAUUAUACAUGUAUAAUAAUAAAAAGGAUCACAUAAUGACAUUAUUAUUCAUAAUAAGAUGAUCCUCAGCAUUAUUAUUAUACAUAAUAUGAAUAUGCUCCUCAUUAUUAUUAUGAUACAAAAUAAAAAUAAAGUGAUCCUCAUUAUGAUCAGCCUUAACGUCCAAAGAGGAGGGCCCCUAGAGGGGGCUGUAGAGGGGGUUGGUUAGCCCCUAGAGGGGGCUGUAGAAGGGGGCCGCAGGGGGUGGCCCCCAGAGGGGGGUAUAGAGAGGGGCCUCAGGUCCCCUAGAGGGGGGCAUCAGGGUGUGGCCCCUAGGGGGGAUGUAGAGGGGGGCUUCAGGGUGUGGCCCCUAGGGGGGGAUGUAGAGGGGGGCUUCAGGGUGUGGCCCCUAGGGGGGGAUGUAGAGGGGGGCUUCAGGGUGUGGCCCCCAGAGGGGGAUGUAGAGGGGGGCUUCAGGGUGUGGCCCCUAGGGGGGGUUAGAGGGGGGCUUCAGGGUGUGGCCCCCAGAGGGGGAUGUAGAGGGGGGCUUCAGGGUGUGGCCCCUAGGGGGGGAUGUAGAUGGGGGCUUCAGGGUGUGGCCCCUAGGGGGGGAUGUAGAGGGGGGCUUCAGGGUGUGGCCCCUAGGGGGGGAUGUAGAGGGGGGCUUCAGGGUGUGGCCCCUAGGGGGGGAUGUAUAGGGGGGCUUCAGGGUGUGGCCCCUAGGGGGGCGUUUAAAGGUGGGCCUCAGCUGUAGAGGGGGGCUGCAGGGUGCGGCCCCCAGAGUGGGCUGUAGAGGCACCACCAAUCAAGCGCUCUCCUGGGCCUCACAGGUGUCAGUCCCUCUCAGCUCCAGAUGGCUCCUGGUUCUGAGCCAGUGGGACAUGGCUUCCCUCUUCUGCUCCACUGGUGGAAGAAGACGAGCAGGAGUCAGUGUUUCAGACCGGCGUCUCCGCGGGCGUCACACGGGCGUCGUUGAGGGUCAACCAUCCGGCGCCGUCCUCUCGAGCUACGUCACUGACGUAGUGGCCUGGGGGACACAAGACAUCCAUUACCUUACUGUCCCCCAGCGUGGGACGGGUCUAGUGUCUGACGCGUGUGUCAGCUCUCUCCCUGGCCCCUCUCACCCCAUGAACUUCCUGAAGACCUCUGUCCCUGUCUCCUGCACUGUCAAGAUGAUCCACUGCUGCUGAGAAACACACCAACAAUCCUGUUUUGUACACAACUGAAAAACUCAAGCGGUUGGGCAUGAGAUAGGAAUCCAUCACUUUUUUCUUACCCAUGUUUGCACUUGGUUUUGCUCCAGAUGCGAUUUCCCCCUCUCCAUAACUUGAUCUACAACACAUUCCAUACAUAAUGAUUAAUCAUAUUGAGGAUCGUAAAUUAAACACUAAAAUGGUUGCGUGAGGUCCUCUAUAAGAGGCAGGGGAGCUUAUGGCCGGAUUACCAAUCUAGAUUCAUCUGACUCUGUUUCAAUGACGCCCACCACUCCCAACCCGCCCAAUCUGUUUCCAUGAAGCACAACGCACUGCCUACCGUCGUAGUCUGUUUCCUUAUCUCUUACCUCAGUGGGUCUAUCCCAGCUGCAGCACCCUGCUCUCCAACGAGGGAGGCCAGAGACAGCCAUGGAGGAACGCUGACAGCAUCGGUCACCUUCCUCAACCGUGCCCCGUCGUGGUGGAAGCGCUUCAUGUGAAGGAGUAACACUCUGUGGACACAAACGGUUCAUCGUCCGAUCGCUGCAUGCACACACGCGCCCGUACGUAUGAAAAGGCUGCUUCAAGGCAACAUUGGAGACAACAGACUCAAGUUCAUGGCUCACCUGGGCAGAGUGAGGAAAUGCCGAACCGCUGUUGUCUGACAUCCAGAGCACUGCCGGCAGGUGCACUCCAACUCUGAAGGCUGAGGGAAAGUGCUCUGUGAGUAUCAGUGGACCAGCGUAAUCGGACACACCAACACAACGGUGUACUGACUUUGAAGUAGAAUUGGAGGCCAGCUAUCAACGACGGGUGGAGGUCCAAGGACAAGUGGUUCUGCUCCUCCUCCUGGAAGACCUUGUCACCGCAGCUUUUAAGACGGGCAGAGAACAGAAAAUCACCAUUUGAACACAGCAGACCAGAUCAUGAUGCCAAAAGUGUUGGCGUAACAUUGAUUGACUCUGAUUUCCAUCAUUCAAUGAUGGAGGAACUAUAGUAGUAUUAUGCGACAACAAUAAUACGUUCGAUGAAGUCAAGCGUUACCUGGUGCAGGUGCGUACACACUGCAGUCUGAACUCAAAGUUCUGGACGGGGCAGAUAUAGCUGGGUGACGUGGAGAUCUCCUGCAGUGUCUCACCUUCCAUCUUCAUCUUCAUGAAGAGGAGGAGCAGGAACUCAUGAGCAUCCUGUCAGAAACCAGAAGUUCAGUUGACAUGUGUUUAAUCCUCAACAAGCGCAUAAGCCAAGAGAUAAGGACUCAUCAGCUGUACCUGCUCAGUGAUAUGCUCGUACUCCUCGUUGAACUCUGCCAGACUGCUCUUGAUGGACCAAAGGAGCCGGCGCUUGCCUUUGUAGGAGCCCUCACCCUGCCGGGAUUUAUAUAGCUCCCCCAAGUACCUGGAGAACAGCAUCAGAAAAAAACCAAGUGCAUUUAGUAUACCUACUGUACUUAAUAUUGUACAGUGGAGCAUUCACUUUGUCAGUAAAUCGUCCAAGCUGUACUGUAGUUUGUGAGGGCUAUGGUUCUGGUUCUCCUCUAGUGUGAGGGCUAAGGGUCUGGUUCUCCUCUAGUGUGAGGGCUAAGGGUCUGGUUCUCCUCUGGUGUGAGGGCUAAGGGUCUGGUUCUCCUCUGGUGUGAGGGCUAAGGGUCUGGUUCUCCUCUAGUGUGAGGGCUUAGGGUCUGGUUCUCCUCUAGUGUGAGGGCUAAGGGUCUGGAUCUCUACUGGACCUCAGCAGCUUCAGCUUGGUUCUUCUCCGGGGGCUCCAGAGGUCCUCCUGCCCCGUGAUGUCACUGCAGAAGCAGGGCAGGCUGUAGAGACACUGCAGGGACGCGUUCAGGAAGCAGCUGUUUCCAAUGUUGGGCAAGCUGAAGAAAACACAUACACAUCAUUAGUCAAUGUACCAGCCCGGAGUAUAUAGUCGUGAUGAUUAGGUUUUAAAGAAGAGACAACCAAUGUUUGGGAAAGUGUAAAUCUCUACAAAUAUAACCAGAACUCCUUAAACUAUGGACUAUAAGGGGGUGAAGGCAUCAGCGGCCCCAAACAGGCUGCUUGUAUUCAUGUUUAUUCUCUAAAGAACCAGCUCAAGAGAUGUCUUUCCUGUCUCUUACCCAAGGGCCUCCUGGUGUUGCUGGGUCUUGCUCCUACCAGAGGAGGCCCGCAGCCGGCUGACCUCGUCCCUCUGAGGCUGACUGCAACACACAGGGACGAGGGGAACAGAGAGGGAAACACAGCAAUGAGGAGGAUAGUCACGUCACGUAUAAGCAAAACGGACUCAUUCAUUCAUCGAUUUCUAUCUGAUGUCCAAUCCUGUGCUGAUGGAUCUCCCUGAUGCAAUCAGCAAAGGUUGGCUCCUGCUGUCAUACCACUGCAGAGAUGAGAAGCGACGAGGCCGGGAGAACUCUGAGGACCGACCACCACCACGGUUAAGACAAUAAUAGUUGAUCUGUGGGACAUGCUGUCUACUCAAUGGAGGACUGCUUCAAAGUACCUGUUGUCUGGGCAGGAGGCCCAGUGGGGUCCACCUCAUUGAGCUCACUCCCAGCUACUGCAGGUACCCUGAAACGCACACAUUCAUCAAGGUCAACUGAGGAUGGGGGCUGAUGUUUUAAGGACAAAUAAAAAGCAGGAAU